UACGGAGGGUGCGAGCGUUGUCCGGAAUCACUGGGCGUAAAGGGCGCGUAGGCGGUGCGAGAAGCGUGUGGUGAAAGGCCGGGGCUCAACUCCGGCUCGGCCGUGCGGACUCUCGCGCUUUGUGAGUGCUGUAGAGGCGGGCGGAAUUCCUGGUGUAGCGGUGAAAUGCGCAGAUAUCAGGAGGAACACCGGUGGCGAAGGCGGGUCUCUGGGCCGAUACUGACGCUGAGGAGCGAAAGCGUGGGGAGCGAACAGG
rnacentral:rRNA from 1 species